rnacentral:rRNA from 1 species
GACGAACGCUGGCGGCGUGCCUAAUACAUGCAAGUCGAACGCAGUGGGGACGGGUGAGUAACACGUGGGUAACCUCCCAUCAGAGGGGAUAACACUUGGAAACAGGUGCUAAACCGAUACUGUUGGAUCGACCCGCGGUGCAUUAGCUAGUUGGUGUGGUAACGGCCCACCAAGGGCACGAUGCAUAGCCGACCUGAUAGGAGGAUCGGCCACACUGGGACUGAGACACGGCCCAGACUCCUACGGGAGGCAGCAGUAGGGAAUCUUAGGCAAUGGACGAAAGUCUGACCGAGCAACGCCGCGUGAGUGAAGAAGGUUUGCGGAGCGGAAAACUCUGUUGUUAGAGAAGCGGUAUCUAACCAGAAAGCCACGGCGAACUACGUGCCAGCAGCCGCGGUAAUUC